rnacentral:rRNA from 1 species
GACGAACGCUGGCGGCGUGCCUAAUACAUGCAAGUAGAACGCUGAAGGAGGAGCUUGCUCUUCUGGAUGAGUUGCGAACGGGUGAGUAACGCGUAGGUAACCUGCCUGGUAGCGGGGGAUAACUAUUGGAAACGAUAGCUAAUACCGCAUAAUAGUAGAUGUUGCAUGAUAUUUACUUAAAAGGUGCACUUGCACCACUACCAGAUGGACCUGCGUUGUAUUAGCUAGUUGGUGGGGUAACGGCUCACCAAGGCGACGAUACAUAGCCGACCUGAGAGGGGGGUCGGCCACACUGGGACUGGGACACGGCCCAGACUCCUACGGGAGGCAGCAGUAGGGAAUCUUCGGCAAUGGACGAAAGUCUGACCGAGCAACGCCGCGUGAGGGAAGAAGGUUUUCGGAUCGUAAAGCUCUGUUGUAAGAGAAGAACGAGUGUGAGAGUGGAAAGUUCACACUGUGACGGUAUCUAACCAGAAAGGGACGGCUAACUACGUG